GACGAACGCUGGCGGCGUGCUUAACACAUGCAAGUCGAACGGUAAGGCCCUUCGGGGUACACGAGUGGCGAACGGGUGAGUAACACGUGGGUGAUCUGCCCUGCACUUCGGGAUAAGCCUGGGAAACUGGGUCUAAUACCGGAUAGGACCCUGGGAUGCAUGUCAUGGGGUGGAAAGCUUUUGCGGUGUGGGAUGGGCCCGCGGCCUAUCAGCUUGUUGGUGGGGUGAUGGCCUACCAAGGUGACGACGGGUAGCCGGCCUGAGAGGGUGACCGGCCACACUGGGACUGAGAUACGGCCCAGACUCCUACGGGAGGCAGCAGUGGGGAAUAUUGCACAAUGGGCGCAAGCCUGAUGCAGCGACGCCGCGUGAGGGAUGACGGCCUUCGGGUUGUAAACCUCUUUCAGCACCGACGAAGCGCAAGUGACGGUAGGUGCAGAGGAAGGACCGGCCAACUACGUGCCAGCCGCCGCGGUAA
rnacentral:rRNA from 1 species